GCGUUCGUGGUGUAACGGUAACACACUCGUGUCGUAUUCGAGAGGUCCAGGUUCGAAUCCUGGCGAGAGCA
rnacentral:tRNA from 1 species